rnacentral:lncRNA from 1 species
CAGCGAGGUGGUGAGGGCGGUGGGUGCGGGGACGCAGCAGCCCUGGCCAAGCCCAGAGACCGGAGGACACCCCCCUCCCAGCGCUCUAACACGGGUAACUUGCCGCUGCCCAGAACGGAGUUUCUCCGUUGCCCACGGACAUCCAGGAGGCCGUGUGGAGGGCAAGCAGGGUAACCCCCACACCUAAACCACCUCUAUCCAAGGGGAGCCCGAGGAGCCAGCAGGUCCGGACACUCUGAGGAGGCUCCUCGUGGGGCCUCCCACGCACAGGUGCUGAGCUGGGCCAGCGGGUAUCUCCAGGCAGCCUCUGCUAAUGAGCUCUUAGCAGGUAAACAGCUCUUCCUUGACCCCCUUCAGGAUAUGCAAGAGACAGGACCGACCUGAGCUGGCACGUGGCUGAGAAGCAGAAAUCAUCCAGUCUACAGCCUCUUAAUGUUCUCCCAGCUGGAACCUCUCUGCUCUCUGUGGCCGGGGCCUCAGGACCUCCUGGAAGAGUGGGACAGAUCCAGGCUUGGGGAGCAAGGCUGCUAGGAAGCCUUCUACCUGUAUUCUGGAAGAACUUAGGAAGAAGGGUCACUGUAGUUGUUUAAGACCAUAGAGGUUGGGGGCAGGCCAAAUGGGGCUGGCCUGGAGCCUCUACCUUUCUUCAUCAUACCAUAGUAUCUGCUGAUGCUGAACAGAAUCCAUGCCUUCAGCCCAGAGCUGUCCAGUGACAGCCUCUGGGGGGGGGGGGGGGGGGCUCUUGGUGAGUCCCCAGGAGGAGUUGGGGUUGUUAAUGCAGUGGAAUCCAGGACAUAGGAGAUGCCUGGGUUGACUGACUCCCAGUCAUAGCAGGAAACUGUAAAAUCCUCCUCACAGGACAGGGGAGGAGACAGAUUCCAGCUGCCCCCGCAUGCCAGAGCACCAACCGCUCUGUUCCUUACAAGCCUGCCAGGUGAGAAUGCGAUUGACACGGGGUGGGUAGAAGCGGGUGCAACUGGGGCUCCUGUCACCUGGCUGCCUGAAUUUAUCCUAAGGCUCCCCCUCUCUCCCCUUCCCUCUCCCACCCUCCUGCUCUCCAGGUCCCGGCUCUGCUUCCCUGACCCCAUCUGCAGUCGCAAGCAAGCCCCAGCCCUGGAGGGGCUGCACCCUGCAACCUUCCCACAGCUGUCUCCUUUGGAUCUUUUUGCGGUCUGGGCUUGCUGUUCUCUCGACAGUAGUCAGGAAGCCCUUACCCCAAAAAGUAUCUACGGGAGGCUUGGUCUACAGGGGAGACCCCCAAGGGCUCCAGAACCAGGCUGACUCAAGACAAGGAGUUUGGAGAGACAAGGGAAGACAUCUUUGCUUCACAGACAUGCAGAGGCAUGUGUGUCUGACCAUCACAUACAUGCAGAGGCACAGGUGGCUGCAUUUUCACUCCUUGCUGCUUCAUGUUUGCAUAUGCACACAGAAUAUACAUUAAAUAAACACUAAACCAAAGCUAAGAAAAACA